rfam:Culex pipiens quinquefasciatus supercont3.594 genomic scaffold, whole genome shotgun sequence.
AAAUCGGCCCUUUUCAGGGCCACUAUUUUAUUACGAAAGAGUUAUU